rnacentral:rRNA from 1 species
AGUUUGAUCAUGGCUCAGAACGAACGCUGGCGGCAUGCCUAACACAUGCAAGUCGAACGAGACCUUCGGGUCUAGUGGCGCACGGGUGCGUAACGCGUGGGAAUCUGCCCUUGGUUCGGAAUAACAGCGAGAAAUUGCUGCUAAUACCGGAUGAUGACGUAAGUCCAAAGAUUUAUCGCCCAAGGAUGAGCCCGCGUAGGAUUAGCUAGUUGGUGAGGUAAAAGGCUCACCAAGGCGACGAUCCUUAGCUGGUCUGAGAGGAUGAUCAGCCACACUGGGACUGAGACACGGCCCAGACUCCUACGGGAGGCAGCAGUGGGAAUAUUGGACAAUGGGCGAAAGCCUGAUCCAGCAAUGCCGCGUGAGUGAUGAAGGCCUUAGGUUGUAAAGCUCUUUACCCGGGAUGAUAAUGACAGUACCGGGAGAAUAAGCUCCGGCUAACUCCGUG